AAGUUUAGGUUAAUACACAAACCAAGAGCCUUCAAAGCCCUAAACAGGGGCCCUAAUACCCUAACUUCU
rnacentral:tRNA from 1 species